GACGAACGCUGGCGGCGUGCUUAACACAUGCAGGUCGAACGGAAAGGCCCUGCUUUUGUGGGGUGCUCGAGUGGCGAACGGGUGAGUAACACGUGAGUAACCUGCCCUUGACUUUGGGAUAACUUCAGGAAACUGGGGCUAAUACCGGAUAGGAGCUCCUGCUGCAUGGUGGGGGUUGGAAAGUUUCGGCGGUUGGGGAUGGACUCGCGGCUUAUCAGCUUGUUGGUGGGGUAGUGGCUUACCAAGGCUUUGACGGGUAGCCGGCCUGAGAGGGUGACCGGCCACAUUGGGACUGAGAUACGGCCCAGACUCCUACGGGAGGCAGCAGUGGGGAAUAUUGCACAAUGGGCGGAAGCCUGAUGCAGCAACGCCGCGUGCGGGAUGACGGCCUUCGGGUUGUAAACCGCUUUCGCCUGUGACGAAGCGUGAGUGACGGUAAUGGGUAAAGAAGCACCGGCUAACUACGU
rnacentral:rRNA from 1 species